GACAAACAGGUCAAGUUAAGUUUAAUUGGUAUAAAAGGAAGUGAAAAAGUUAAUUAAUACUUAGAGGUUUAGCUUAAGGUGAAGAGGUGGAAUUCGCACACACUAAGUUAUAUUAGUACUUUUAUCUAUUUGAUGCUUCGAAAAUUAAAUUAGAGACCGGGAUUAGAUACCCCGUUAUUUUUUUUGUAAAUUUGAUUAUUUUUAGUUUACCUGAGUAUUACGGGUUGAAUAGUUUUUGUAAGAUGAAAAGUUAUAAGAUUAUUCAGUUACUUAAAACUCAAAAAACUUGGCGGUGCCUUAUUUCCUCCCAGGGGAACCUGUCCUGUAAUCGAUGAUCCACGAUUUAUCUUACUUUUUUUUGAGGCCUGUUUUAAGCAGGCUAUCAGUUUGUAUACCGUCGUCGUCAGAUUACCUUUGAGAGUUAAGAAGUUGUCAGACAAAUUAAAAAUACUUGCAUGCUUCUUAGGUAUGUGUGUUGUAUAAUAUGAGAUUAAUUUUUGAUGUCAGAUCAAGGUGCAGCCUACGGAAAAGUAGAGAUGGGUUACAAUAUAAACUUUGUAUUAUGGAUACUAACUUGUAAUAGUUAGGUGAAAGUGGACUUGGAAGUAAUAUUAUUUUAAUUAUUUGAAAAUAGUAAGUUUAUGUGAAUAAAGGUACUAAGGUGCGC
rnacentral:rRNA from 1 species